GGUGGUCCUUUAAGUCAGUGGUGAAAGCCUGCAGCUUAACUGUAGAAUUGCCAUUGAUACUGGAGGACUUGAGUAUAGAUAAGGUAGGCGGAAUUGAUGAUGUAGCGGUGAAAUGCAUAGAUAUCAUCAGGAACUCCGAUUGCGAAGGCAGCUUACUGGUCUAUAACUGACGCUGAGGCACGAAAGCGUGGGGAGCGAACAGGAUUAGAUACCCUGGUAGUCCACGCCGUAAACGAUG
rnacentral:rRNA from 1 species